ACAUCGGCUUAGCUGACCCUUGCGAUUACCCCAAAUGUGGGUAACUCGGUCGUAUAAUUUCUGGUAGUGGGGACUGCGUUCGCGCUAUCCCCC
rnacentral:snRNA from 1 species